ACCUCCUCCAUGGAACUUCUGUUGUCAUCCAGUGGCUGAAAUCAACUGGAAGCCUACAGGGAAAGACCUGCCUCCUGGGACACAGAGCAGCAAGAAGGAACACAUUUGCUGAAAACUUUCCAAAUUUUUUCGUUACUGCUGCACCAUCACUAGCUGUUGAUAUCGAUGGAAUUCCUGACCAGUAACAUUUCCAUGAAGAUCAUUACAAUUUAUUUCUUGAAAUUCUGGGAAGGCAUGGAAACAUCACAUUGCAGCAGAUGCUGGGGAUGCAGCAAUGAACAAGACAGGCCAGAUCCCUACUCUCAGAUAAACACAAUGAUCCAGGUCAGUAGGCAUUUGGUAGGAAUCUGCAUCAAACUGUUGGGCAAUGGUAGACAGCAACAUUGACGUCUGUAAAUUUACACUUGGAUUCUUAGUUUCUGGUUGGCUGCAUCCUUCUUCUGAAGGCCACUGCUCUUUUCAGAAGACCUCCCUAGAUGGCUAAGCUCUCUGGGUUGCAACAGUUGCUCUUUUUCCUUGAGCCUUAGGUUAGGGAGUUGGGAGGAAGUAAUGGCUUCCCCCACUGCUAGCUCCAGGGUGCUACACUUUCUCUUUUCUAGUUUCCCUAAUCUGGCUUACACCAUUAUAGAUAGACCCUUUAUUAAAAUAUCCUCAAUUUAUCCAUA
rnacentral:lncRNA from 1 species